rnacentral:rRNA from 1 species
AUUGAACGCUGGCGGCAUGCUUUACACAUGCCAGUCGAACGGCAGCGCGGGCUUCGGCCUGGCGGCGAGUGGCGAACGGGUGAGUAAUACAUCGGAACGUGCCCAGUAGUGGGGGAUAGCUCGGCGAAAGCCGGAUUAAUACCGCAUACGACCUGAGGGUGAAAGCGGGGAUCUUCGGACCUCGCGCUAUUGGAGCGGCCGAUGGCAGAUUAGCUAGUUGGUGGGGUAAAGGCCUACCAAGGCGACGAUCUGUAGCUGGUCUGAGAGGACGACCAGCCACACUGGGACUGAGACACGGCCCAGACUCCUACGGGAGGCAGCAGUGGGGAAUUUUGGACAAUGGGCGAAAGCCUGAUCCAGCAAUGCCGCGUGUGUGAUGAAGGCCUUCGGGUUGUAAAGCACUUUUGGCGGGAACGAAAAGGACUGUGCCAAUACCACGGUUCGAUGACGGUACCCGCAGAAUAAGCACCGGCUAACUACGUG